GACGAACGCUGGCGGCGUGCUUAACACAUGCAAGUCGAGCGGUAAGGCCCUUUCGGGGGUACGACGAGCGGCGAACGGGUGAGUAACACGUGGGUGACCUGCCCUCAGCUCUGGGAUAAGCCUGGGAAACCGGGUCUAAUACCGGAUAUGACUCCAUGACGCAUGUUGUGGGGUGGAAAGCCUUGUGCGGCUGAGGAUGGGCCCGCGGCCUAUCAGCUUGUUGGUGGGGUGAUGGCCUACCAAG
rnacentral:rRNA from 1 species